rnacentral:rRNA from 1 species
UACGUAGGGGGCAAGCGUUGUCCGGAAUUAUUGGGCGUAAAGCGCGCGCAGGCGGUUUCUUAAGUCUGAUGUGAAAUCUCGUGGCUCAACCACGAGCGGUCAUUGGAAACUGGGGAACUUGAGUACAGAAGAGGAGAGCGGAAUUCCACGUGUAGCGGUGAAAUGCGUAGAUAUGUGGAGGAACACCAGUGGCGAAGGCGGCUCUCUGGUCUGUAACUGACGCUGAGGCGCGAAAGCGUGGGGAGCGAACAGG